UUGACCUCGGAUCAGGUAGGGAUACCCGCUGAACUUAAGCAUAUCAAUAAGCGGAGGAAAAGAAACCAACAGGGAUUGCCCCAGUAACGGCGAGUGAAGCGGCAAGAGCUCAAAUUUGAAAGCUGGCUCCUUCGGGGUCCGCAUUGUAAUUUGCAGAGGAUGCUUCGGGAGCGGUCCCCAUCUAAGUGCCCUGGAACGGGACGUCAUAGAGGGUGAGAAUCCCGUAUGGGAUGGGGUGUCCGCGCCCGUGUGAAGCUCCUUCGACGAGUCGAGUUGUUUGGGAAUGCAGCUCUAAAUGGGUGGUAAAUUUCAUCUAAAGCUAAAUAUUGGCCGGAGACCGAUAGCGCACAAGUAGAGUGAUCGAAAGAUGAAAAGCACUUUGAAAAGAGAGUUAAAAAGCACGUGAAAUUGUUGAAAGGGAAGCGCUUGCGACCAGACUCGCUCGCGGGGUUCAGCCGGCAUUCGUGCCGGUGUAUUUCCCCGCGGGCGGGCCAGCGUCGGUUUGGGCGGUCGGUCAAAGGCCCUCGGAAGGUAACGCCCCUAGGGGCGUCUUAUAGCCGAGGGUGCAAUGCGACCUGCCUAGACCGAGGAACGCGCUUCGGCUCGGACGCUGGCAUAAUG
rnacentral:rRNA from 4 species